rnacentral:ncRNA from 12 species
GGUAUUUGAGGUGGUAAAAUUCGUAGCGACCACACGCCGCCGGUAACGACAGGAACUUCGGUUCUGAGAGAUGCAGGAGAAUGCUACGCCUGCCAAAUACC